CACAUUACCAACUCCGGAAGACGAUCAAAGCAGCCAAACGGUUGCACCAAAGAAGAAGAAGAAAAGAAUGAGGAGGGGCUGAUAAUGAACAUAACUACAGGCUUGGAGGUCCCAAAAGUCAGCUUAUCACACAUUUGAUGUCCAUGUGUGACGACUGCAAGU